UACGAAGGGGGCUAGCGUUGCUCGGAAUCACUGGGCGUAAAGCGCACGUAGGCGGCUUCUUAAGUCGGUGGUGAAAUCCUGGAGCUCAACUCCAGAACUGCCUUCGAUACUGAGAGUCUCGAGUCCGGGAGAGGUGAGUGGAACUGCGAGUGUAGAGGUGAAAUUCGUAGAUAUUCGCAAGAACACCAGUGGCGAAGGCGGCUCACUGGCCCGGUACUGACGCUGAGGUGCGAAAGCGUGGGGAGCAAACAGG
rnacentral:rRNA from 1 species